ACAAUAAUCAAAAUCCAGACUAUUGGAAAUUUAAACAAAUGAGCUGGUUUACUAAAUGGCAAGGUGGAAAAAAGAAAUAGAGGGAGGAAAUCUGUAGAUUAAAAGAGUAUGAAGAGCUCCAUCAACCAAUUACAGAGUAUGGGGCUUAUUUGGAUUCUGUUUCAAACUAGCAAAAUGUAAAAGAAUACAAUUUGAGACAGUUGGAGAAAUGUAAGCACUUGUUGAAUAUUUUAUGAAUUAAGGAAUCCUUGAUUACUAAGCUCUUUUAGGCGUGAUAAUGAAAUUGUGGUUGUGUAUUUUUUAAAGGAGUCCUUAUUUAUUAGGGGCACAUACUGAGAUCUUUAUGGAUGAAAUAUUAUGAUGCUCAAGAUUUACUUCGAAAUAAUCUAUUAGGUGAAGAGAGAAAUAGAAGUAGGUGGGGAUUAGAUGAAAUAAGAUUGUUUGUGAGUGACAGCUGUUGAAGCCAAAUCAUGGUGAAGGGGGAUAGUGAUACUUUGUUUUCUGUCUCUAAAUGUGUAAUUGACAUUCCCCCACCCCCUUUUAUGCCUCUGAAUAUGUAAUUGACAUUUUCCCCAAAAAGUUUUAAAAGAAAGAAAGAAAAGAGAAAAUGAAGAGAGUAAAAAGACAAGCCACAGAAUAGAAGAUAUUUUCAACACAAACCCAAGACUGUUACCAGAAUAUUUAUUCAGAGCUCCUCUAAAUCGCUAAGAAAAAAAAAAAAUCCAUGGAAAAAUUAGCAAGCAACUUGAACAGGCACUUCACAAAGGAAGAGGAUAUCCAAUUGCUCCCCACCACAGCUGCCCCCCACC
rnacentral:lncRNA from 1 species